UUCACUGGACCUUCAUAUGACUGUGGCGUUCAAAGGAAUGAAUGUUGUUGAAUGUUGAAAAAUGUUGCAAAGGAGUCUGAAGUGGGCAGGUUGAUAUCCUCCGCGCCGCCCUUGGCCUGGCUUCUUGACAGGGAGGUGAAUGCCGCCGAAAAUUUCCGCGUCUGGUAACGCCGGUUUCCGCAUCUUUUUUCUCUUUCAUUUAUUAUCCUUUGUGGUAGGAGUAUAUUUUUUUAGUAGUGUGGGGUAAGUCAUGCGCUUUGUGUUUCGAGCUCCCACGAAAUUAAAUUUAUUGACAAUAAAAUUUGAUAAAAUAACUUGCGGUAGGUCGCUAAAGUUCCCUGCAGAUAAAAGUCUUUUGAGCAUAUUUUUUUCGUAGCCUGGGCAUUCUUAAAUAUUUUGGCUUGAAAAAGGACAAGAGGACUCUCAUGUGUUUUGCAUUCGGUGGAACUGGAGAGACAAGGGCAUUCUUAAACAUUUUGGCUUGAAAAAGGACAAGAGGACUCUCAUGUGUUUUCCAUUCGGUGGAACUGGAGAGACAAGGGCAUUCUUAAACAAUUUUGCUUGAAAAAGGACAAGAGGACUCUCAUGUGUUUUCCAUUCGGUGGAACUGGAGAGACAAGGGCAUUCUUAAACAUUUUGGCUUGAAAAAGGACAAGAGGACUCUCAUGUGUUUUCCAUUCGGUGGAACUGGAGAGACAAGGGCAUUCUUAAACAAUUUUGCUUGAAAAAGGACAAGAGGACUCUCAUGUGUUUUCCAUUCGGUGGAACUGGAGAGACAGGGGCAUUCUUAAACAUUUUGGCUUGAAAAAGGACAAGAGGACUCAUGUGUUUUCCAUUCGGUGGAACUGGAGAGACAAGGGCAUUCUUAAACAUUUUGGCUUGAAAAAGGACAAGAGGACUCAUGUGUUUU